GCUCACUUUAGCACAACAUAUACUAAAAUUGGGACAAUACAGCGAAGAUUAGAAUGGCCCAAUGAAAGGAUGACAUGGACAUCUGUGUAACACCCGUAUUUUUG